UACAGAGGGGGCAAGCGUUAUUCGGAAUUAUUGGGCGUAAAGGGCGCGUAGGCGGCUUUGCAAGUGACGGGUGAAAUCCCUCGGCUUAACCGAGGAACUGCCUGUCAAACUGCAGGACUUGAGGCUGGGAGGGGCUGGUGGAAUUCCCUGUGUAGCGGUGAAAUGCGUAGAGAUGGGGGAGAACACUCGUGGCGAAGGCGGCCAGCUAGACCAGUUCUGACACUGAGGCGCGACAGCGUGGGGAGCAAACAGG
rnacentral:rRNA from 1 species